rnacentral:rRNA from 2 species
AGAUUAAGUUAUUAAGGGCGCACGGUGGAUGCCUUGGCACUAGAAGCCGAUGAAGGACGUUACUAACGACGAUAUGCUUUGGGGAGCUGUAAGUAAGCUUUGAUCCAGAGAUUUCCGAAUGGGGAAACCCAGCAUGAGUUAUGUCAUGUUAUCGAUAUGUGAAUACAUAGCAUAUCAGAAGGCACACCCGGAGAACUGAAACAUCUUAGUACCCGGAGGAAGAGAAAGAAAAUUCGAUUCCCUUAGUAGCGGCGAGCGAAACGGGAAGAGCCCAAACCAACAAGCUUGCUUGUUGGGGUUGUAGGACACUCUAUACGGAGUUACAAAGGACGACAUUAGACGAAUCAUCUGGAAAGAUGAAUCAAAGAAGGUAAUAAUCCUGUAGUCGAAAAUGUUGUCUCUCUUGAGUGGAUCCUGAGUACGACGGAGCACGUGAAAUUCCGUUGGAAUCUGGGAGGACCAUCUCCUAAGGCUAAAUACUCUCUAGUGACCGAUAGUGAACCAGUACCGUGAGGGAAAGGUGAAAAGCACCCCGGAAGGGGAGUGAAAUAGAACCUGAAACCGUGUGCUUACAAGUAGUCAGAGCCCGUUAAUGGGUGAUGGCGUGCCUUUUGUAGAAUGAACCGGCGAGUUACGAUUUGAUGCAAGGUUAAGCAGUAAAUGUGGAGCCGUAGCGAAAGCGAGUCUGAAUAGGGCGUUUAGUAUUUGGUCGUAGACCCGAAACCAGGUGAUCUACCCUUGGUCAGGUUGAAGUUCAGGUAACACUGAAUGGAGGACCGAACCGACUUACGUUGAAAAGUGAGCGGAUGAACUGAGGGUAGCGGAGAAAUUCCAAUCGAACCUGGAGAUAGCUGGUUCUCUCCGAAAUAGCUUUAGGGCUAGCCUCAAGUGAUGAUUAUUGGAGGUAGAGCACUGUUUGGACGAGGGGCCCCUCUCGGGUUACCGAAUUCAGACAAACUCCGAAUGCCAAUUAAUUUAACUUGGGAGUCAGAACAUGGGUGAUAAGGUCCGUGUUCGAAAGGGAAACAGCCCAGACCACCAGCUAAGGUCCCAAAAUAUAUGUUAAGUGGAAAAGGAUGUGGCGUUGCCCAGACAACUAGGAUGUUGGCUUAGAAGCAGCCAUCAUUUAAAGAGUGCGUAAUAGCUCACUAGUCGAGUGACACUGCGCCGAAAAUGUACCGGGGCUAAACAUAUUACCGAAGCUGUGGAUUGUCCUUUGGACAAUGGUAGGAGAGCGUUCUAAGGGCGUUGAAGCAUGAUCGUAAGGACAUGUGGAGCGCUUAGAAGUGAGAAUGCCGGUGUGAGUAGCGAAAGACGGGUGAGAAUCCCGUCCACCGAUUGACUAAGGUUUCCAGAGGAAGGCUCGUCCGCUCUGGGUUAGUCGGGUCCUAAGCUGAGGCCGACAGGCGUAGGCGAUGGAUAACAGGUUGAUAUUCCUGUACCACCUAUAAUCGUUUUAAUCGAUGGGGGGACGCAGUAGGAUAGGCGAAGCGUGCGAUUGGAUUGCACGUCUAAGCAGUAAGGCUGAGUAUUAGGCAAAUCCGGUACUCAUUAAGGCUGAGCUGUGAUGGGGAGAAGACAUUGUGUCUUCGAGUCGUUGAUUUCACACUGCCGAGAAAAGCCUCUAGAUAGAAAAUAGGUGCCCGUACCGCAAACCGACACAGGUAGUCAAGAUGAGAAUUCUAAGGUGAGCGAGCGAACUCUCGUUAAGGAACUCGGCAAAAUGACCCCGUAACUUCGGGAGAAGGGGUGCUCUUUAGGGUUAACGCCCAGAAGAGCCGCAGUGAAUAGGCCCAAGCGACUGUUUAUCAAAAACACAGGUCUCUGCUAAACCGUAAGGUGAUGUAUAGGGGCUGACGCCUGCCCGGUGCUGGAAGGUUAAGAGGAGUGGUUAGCUUCUGCGAAGCUACGAAUCGAAGCCCCAGUAAACGGCGGCCGUAACUAUAACGGUCCUAAGGUAGCGAAAUUCCUUGUCGGGUAAGUUCCGACCCGCACGAAAGGCGUAACGAUUUGGGCACUGUCUCAACGAGAGACUCGGUGAAAUCAUAGUACCUGUGAAGAUGCAGGUUACCCGCGACAGGACGGAAAGACCCCGUGGAGCUUUACUGUAGCCUGAUAUUGAAAUUCGGCACAGCUUGUACAGGAUAGGUAGGAGCCUUUGAAACGUGAGCGCUAGCUUACGUGGAGGCGCUGGUGGGAUACUACCCUAGCUGUGUUGGCUUUCUAACCCGCACCACUUAUCGUGGUGGGAGACAGUGUCAGGCGGGCAGUUUGACUGGGGCGGUCGCCUCCUAAAAGGUAACGGAGGCGCUCAAAGGUUCCCUCAGAAUGGUUGGAAAUCAUUCAUAGAGUGUAAAGGCAUAAGGGAGCUUGACUGCGAGACCUACAAGUCGAGCAGGGUCGAAAGACGGACUUAGUGAUCCGGUGGUUCCGCAUGGAAGGGCCAUCGCUCAACGGAUAAAAGCUACCCCGGGGAUAACAGGCUUAUCUCCCCCAAGAGUUCACAUCGACGGGGAGGUUUGGCACCUCGAUGUCGGCUCAUCGCAUCCUGGGGCUGUAGUCGGUCCCAAGGGUUGGGCUGUUCGCCCAUUAAAGCGGUACGCGAGCUGGGUUCAGAACGUCGUGAGACAGUUCGGUCCCUAUCCGUCGUGGGCGUAGGAAAUUUGAGAGGAGCUGUCCUUAGUACGAGAGGACCGGGAUGGACAUACCUCUGGUGUACCAGUUGUCGUGCCAACGGCAUAGCUGGGUAGCUAUGUGUGGACGGGAUAAGUGCUGAAAGCAUCUAAGCAUGAAGCCCCCCUCAAGAUGAGAUUUCCCAACUUCGGUUAUAAGAUCCCUCAAAGAUGAUGAGGUUAAUAGGUUCGAGGUGGAAGCAUGGUGACAUGUGGAGCUGACGAAUACUAAUCGAUCGAAGACUUAAUCAAAUU